UACGUAUGGUGCAAGCGUUAUCCGGAUUUACUGGGUGUAAAGGGAGCGCAGGCGGCACGGCAAGCCUGAUGUGAAAGCCCGCGGCCCAACCGCGGGACUGCAUUGGGAACUACCGGGCUGGAGUGCCGGAGAGGUAGGCGGAACUCCUAGUGUAGCGGUGAAAUGCGUAGAUAUUAGGAGGAACACCAGUGGCGAAGGCGGCCUACUGGACGGUGACUGACGCUGAGGCUCGAAAGCGUGGGGAGCAAACAGG
rnacentral:rRNA from 1 species